AUGCCCCAGCCCCGGGCCGGCAGGAGGAGACCUGGGACCCCGGAGCCUCGGGUGUGCAGCAUCCAGCCCUUUAAGUCCAGCGAGCAGUACCUAGAAGCCAUGAAGGAGGACCUGGCCGAGUGGCUUCGGGAUCUCUACGGACUGGACAUCAGUGCAGCCAACUUCCUGCAGGUGCUGGAGACAGGCCUGGUGCUGUGCCAGCAUGCCAACGCCAUCACUGAGGCUGCCCUGGCCUUCCUGGCUGAGACACCUGCCCAAGCCCAGAGGCUUCCUCUGCCCAGGGCCGGAGUUUCCUGUAAUGAGGCUGCCCAGCCUCGCACUUUCCAGGCCCGGGACAACAUCUCCAACUUCAUCCAGUGGUGUCGCAAGGAGAUGGGCAUCCAAGAGGUGCUGAUGUUCGAGACGGAGGAUCUGGUGUUGCGCAAGAACGUGAAGAACGUGGUGCUGUGCCUGCUGGAGCUGGGCCGCCGGGCCUGGCGCUUCGGCAUCGCGGCGCCCACCCUGGUGCGGCUGGAGGAGGAGAUCGAGGAGGAGCUGCGGCUGGAGCGGCCCUGCCACUCCCGCGACCUGGACCAGCUGGUUCAGAGCCUGGUGAGCCACUGCACCUGCCCGGUUCAAUUUUCCAUGGUCAAGGUGUCGGAGGGGAAGUACCGCGUGGGAGAUUCCAACACCCUUAUCUUCAUCCGGAUCCUCCGGAACCACGUGAUGGUGCGUGUGGGGGGCGGCUGGGACACACUCGGUCACUAUCUGGACAAACAUGACCCCUGCCGGUGCACGUCCCUCUCACACAAGACAGGCAGCUUCUUGCAGCCCCCUGCCCACCUUGUGCAGCAUGAAGUGAGGGUGCAGGACGGGCCCUGGCAGCCCCAGCCUACGAUGACCAUCAGCCGCUCCCAGAGCCCACUGCCCCCCGUGGACUGGAAGACAUAUACUUCUUCAGGUCGAAAGCUGAGGCCCCCUGCCGUCUCCUCCCCCAGACCCCAGCGUGAACAGAGAGCUGGCCCAGGGGUCCACAGAGAGACAGCACCGUUGCUGAGGUGCCAGGAGAAGUUGCUCGCCCCAUCUCAGAGGCAGCUGCCAGCUGGGGACAACCUGCCCAGCCCCCAGUCCUCACCCACUCCCAGGGGCCUAGACCCACCGUGUACCUCCUUGGGGAAGAGGGAGGAGAGACACCCCCCUGAACCCCCCCGGGGGAGGACUCCCACAUCUUCGGUUCAUGAGAGGACAGACAGCCGGGGAACUCAUGCCAGGACCCCCACCCCCCAGAGACUCCAAGCCCCAGAGGCCACCGCCAAAGGGACGCCAGCAAGAGGACUGUCCCCAUUGCCUCGUUCUCCCAGCCCAGCCAUGUCCGUGGGCCCCAGGCGACCACCUUGGGGUGAGGUUGAGGGCACUUCCUCGCAGCUCAAGGAGCCAGAGCCUGUCUGCUCUCCAUCCCCUGUCAAAGGGUCCACCAAGAUCCCCAUCCAGUUGCCCCCAGCACGCCCCCCCACUCCGGGAAGAGGCUUUGCAGGAACUGCAAGUGGAGGUCCCAGCAAAGAACUGGAGAGAGGCCCCAUUCCAUUAAGGGCCAUCACUGGAGACCUGUCUGGGUCCAGACAUGAGCACUGUUCUGUGGAAGAGGGGCAGGAGGACCUGAAGCUGGACGUCCAGGUGACAGCGGAGGCUGGAGGGCCUUGGGGCCUGGGCCCACAGCACCGGGAGGGGAGGUGCACCCCCUUGCCAUCGGGCAGAACCAAGGAACAAGGCAUCCAUCACAGCCUUGAGGAGGAGCUUUCAACCAACAUGAAGCUGUUAGGAAUGGCAGGUGCCCACCCCCAGGGUGCUGGGUCUGUAGUCAUUCCUCGCAGUGGUGUCUAUGUGCCCAGUCUGGGUGGGUGGUGGCCUGAUCCUGGGGGUCUUUAUGACAAAGUCAUCCAAGAGCUGAUUCAGGGCCCCCCACCCCUCCUUAAAGUGGACCUGGGAGCCUGGAAGGCAGCUCCUCCAGGCUCCCCUGCGCCAGCUGUAACUGCAGGCCCAGGAAGCCUCAAAGGGAAACUGAGAGCCCGUGAGAGUGGGCCGACAAUGGCAAACCCAAGUGCCAAGGGCAUCAGGACGAAGGUCCAAGGGGGACAGGACUGCUCAGCCCCUACACUGUCUGCCAGCCCAGAGUCCCUCACACCUUCACCCUCUGACCCCAGUUCCGAGAGAGCCAAGGCAUGUCCAAGCAAGGGCAAGAGAACACUCCGGAAGCCCCAGAGAAUCCCAUCCAUCUACAAGCUGAAGCUGAGGCCCAGGAUUCGGCCCCGGAGAGAUCACAGGCCUGAGAAGCGGCCAUCACGGAUCCCCAAGCCAUUGACCUACCUGUGCCAGGGUCCAGUCAGGGCACCCCCCAAAGGCAGGCUGGUGAGGGCAGCACUGGGCAGUAAGGGAGGGGAGGCAACCCUGGUGGAUGGAGCCUCGGCAGGGGAGGAGGAGGAUGGAGAAGAGAGGAGAGAGCCAGCCACCCCACUGGAGAGCGGCUCCCCGCCUUUGGAGGGCCAGGGGCCCUGGCAGCUCGAUCCAGUCCCCCUCUCACCUGAGGAGGAGUCCUGGGUCGAA
rnacentral:lncRNA from 1 species